GACGAACGCUGGCGGCGUGCUUAACACAUGCAAGUCGAACGGAAAGGCCCUGCUUUUGUGGGGUGCUCGAGUGGCGAACGGGUGAGUAACACGUGAGUAACCUGCCCUUGACUUUGGGAUAACUUCAGGAAACUGGGGCUAAUACCGGAUAGGAGCUCCUGCUGCAUGGUGGGGGUUGGAAAGUUUCGGCGGUUGGGGAUGGACUCGCGGCUUAUCAGCUUGUUGGUGGGGUAGUGGCUUACCAAGGCUUUGACGGGUAGCCGGCCUGAGAGGGUGACCGGCCACAUUGGGACUGAGCUACGGCCCAGACUCCUACGGGAGGCAGCAGUGGAGAAUAUUGCACUAUGGGCGGAAGCCUAAUGCAGCAACGCCGCGUGCGGGAUGACGGCCUGCGGGUUGUAAACCGCUUUCGCCUGUGACGAAGCGUGAGUGACGGUAAUGGGUGAAGAAGCACCGGCUAACUACGUG
rnacentral:rRNA from 1 species